rnacentral:lncRNA from 1 species
CACCUUGGGCAAUUCAGGCACUUUGGGCAACUCAGGCUUUGGAAGUUCAGGUACUUCGGGCUCUUUUGGCAUCUCAGGCACUUUGGGCAACUCAGGCUUUGGAAGUUCAGGUACUCAAGCUCUUUUGGCACCUCAGGUUUCAAAAUAUCUGGCAAUUCAGGUUCUUUUGGCAACUCAGGCUUUGGAAUCUCAGGUAAUUCAGGUUUCUUCGGUAGUUCUGGCUUUGGAAUCUCUGGUAAUUCAGGUUUUUUAGGUAGCUCAGGCUUUGGAAUCUCAAGUAAUUGUUAGAGUGCAAUUUAUGCACUAGUUUUGCAUUGUUUACUUCCUUUAAUAUUGAUGUUUUGCACUUAAUAAUAGUGAUUUACUUGUGUUUUAUUUAUGUAGGUGCAAUUCUAUUGAUUGAUGCUAAAAUUUAGCUUCAGAAGAACUUUGUUGAUAAGGCGUGGGCGCGUGCUGUCAACUACGGACCUGCAGUUUUUAGUUUAAUGUGUUUUAUCUUUUUGGUUAUUUUUGUAAUUACGAAUUUAAUAUUUAGAUAAUAUUUUAGAUAUUAGUAUUUUAUUUUAAAAAGAACUCUAGACGAGAAGAGAGAGGAAAGAAUUUAAGAGAGGAAUCUAUUAGAAAAAAAGGGAGAUUUUUGAAGAAAAAGAAACCCUAAAUCUAAAAUUUUCUCUUCUCUCUAAGAAGAACUAAAUUUAUUAUUCUGGUUUGAUAAUGAAGCUUUGAUUCAUCACUACUGUAAGAUCUUUCUUAUGCUUUAAUUGUUUUAUUACUUUUUGGGUAUUUAUUUAUUCUCUGAAUUAUUAUCAUGAUUAUGUUUGUUAAUUAGAUAAUUGGCCACUAUUUAAUUAUCAACUUAAUAUAUUGUCAAUUAAAUGAUUCGUAUGAAACUAAUAUCAAUAAUUUGUGACACCUAUUUGUUAAAAGCGGAAAAUGGUGCAUAGUUAAGUAAUUACUGACACUUUUUUUAAAGUGUCAGAAGCAAAGUGUCAGUGAAAGUCAUUUUUUUAGUAGUGGUGAGUUGGGAUCUCCUUUGGAAUAUUCGGGAUGGCGGGAAAUGUGGGCUUAAGAAGCUCAGGUAGAUGAGGGAAAGAAGGCAAUCCAUGCACCUUGGGCAAUUCAGGCACUUUGGGCAACUCAGGCUUUGGAAGUUCAGGUACUUCGGGCUCUUUUGGCAUCUCAGGCACUUUGGGCAACUCAGGCUUUGGAAGUUCAGGUACUCAAGCUCUUUUGGCACCUCAGGUUUCAAAAUAUCUGGCAAUUCAGGUUCUUUUGGCAACUCAGGCUUUGGAAUCUCAGGUAAUUCAGGUUUCUUCGGUAGUUCUGGCUUUGGAAUCUCUGGUAAUUCAGGUUUUUUAGGUAGCUCAGGCUUUGGAAUCUCAAGUAAUUGUUAGAGUGCAAUUUAUGCACUAGUUUUGCAUUGUUUACUUCCUUUAAUAUUGAUGUUUUGCACUUAAUAAUAGUGAUUUACUUGUGUUUUAUUUAUGUAGGUGCAAUUCUAUUGAUUGAUGCUAAAAUUUAGCUUCAGAAGAACUUUGUUGAUAAGGCGUGGGCGCGUGCUGUCAACUACGGACCUGCAGUUUUUAGUUUAAUGUGUUUUAUCUUUUUGGUUAUUUUUGUAAUUACGAAUUUAAUAUUUAGAUAAUAUUUUAGAUAUUAGUAUUUUAUUUUAAAAAGAACUCUAGACGAGAAGAGAGAGGAAAGAAUUUAAGAGAGGAAUCUAUUAGAAAAAAAGGGAGAUUUUUGAAGAAAAAGAAACCCUAAAUCUAAAAUUUUCUCUUCUCUCUAAGAAGAACUAAAUUUAUUAUUCUGGUUUAAGGUUAAUGAAGCUUUGAUUCAUCACUAUUGUGAGAUCUUUCUUAUGCUUUAAUUGUUUUAUUACUUUUUGGGUAUUUAUUUAUUCUCUGAAUUAUUAUCAUGAUUAUGUUUGUUAAUUAGAUAAUUGGCCACUAUUUAAUUAUCAACUUAAUAUAUUGUCAAUUAAAUGAUUCGUAUGAAAACUUUAAUGUUUGUGACAAAUAGCAUAGCAGUGCGUUGUGUUAUGAGAAUAAACAAUCUAAUUUAAAUGAACCAUCGUAUGCGUUUGUUGAUUAGGAUUUGGGUCUCUCUGGUUUUUCAGGCUGUCAAUUGAUUAAAUCCUAUGAUCGUAUCUAGGGUUGCACUACUAGAAAAAUGGUCUUUACUGACUUUAGAAUAGUGUCAGAAAUUACUUUUACUGACACUUAUUAAUUGUGUCAGUAAUCUGGGAGUCAGAAAAAUAGUGACACUUGUAAGUGGUGUCAGUGAUUACUAUUACUAUAGUAUCACUAAAAUAAUAACACCAUGGUAUCAAAAUAUUACAAUACUAUAUUAGUAUUUGUGAUUACUGUUACUAUAGUAUCACUACUUUAUUUAUUAUUUAAAAAAAUAAUUAUAUAAAAUGACAUGUUGCCCAUUGAUUUGUUGAUAGAAUUAAAAGGCUGUGAAAAAUAAGAACAAAAAUCAAUUUAUAUAUCAAAACCUUUCAUAACAUUUAAAUAUUAUCAAUAUAUAUUACACAAUCCAAAUACUUCAAUACACAAAGACGUCUGAUUACAAGACAAGUUAUUCUUAUAAUUGAAUAAUCUUAACUGCUAUUAUCCAAUCAAUUUGAUAAUGAUACUUCUCUAGAAAAUAUCUUCAUAGUAUAUGACUAAUUACCGAAUUCUGUCCACGGGAUAAGGCAUCUUGAGCAAUGAGCCAUAUCAAAUGAAUUUGAGGGGAAAGGUAGGCGCUGUGUGGAAAUGAUGCCAAGAAUUGCGGGAAUUCCACGUUCCAAUGCAAAUUGAACUUGAGCUUCAUGAUUAUCUCUUGGUGCAAGAGAAACCGUUAAAAUUCCACGAUCUAAUAAAUCACCUCCCCAGCUAGCAACCUAUAUAAAAAAAUGUAAGUGAGUUAAAUUUAUCCUAAGAUGACCAAGAGGCACCAUAAGAAUAAACCAUCAAUGCAACAUAGAUUAGCCCAGUAUAUGAUUAGAUGAAAAAGUGGGCAAAUGGAAAACAAAACUCACCCCACAUCCAGUGUCAAUAGCAGUUCGAACUGUCCCAUCUUUCAUUUCUGGAAUCAGAUCUCGCAUCAAAUCAACAUAUGCACCAACUCCUUUGGGAAACAUUGUACCUCCACCAGGAAAGAGGAACUUCUCUCCUUGUUUUCUCAGCCAAUUCUGAUUUGACUUCUGCUUGUUAAUCCAAUCAUAAGGCACAUUCCUGAAACUAGAUCCAAAUAAUAGAACAAAAUUGACUUACGGCCAACAUCAGUGGACAAUAAAACCAGUUCAUUAAUAGAUCAUAAUACCUGUACCAACAUUCAUCCCUGCUUUUUGGCCACUUGAUAGGUGGCUUAUACCCAUUAGGAGGGGGUAUUAAGCAUUCCUUCCUCUCAAAAACUGGAGGACAGUGGCGUUCCAUGAAAGUCAGCCGAUGAGCACCGUACUUUUUCCACCUCUGUAGCAAUGAAUGUUUGCCAUCAAUAUGGCCACUUGAUAUCAUAUAGCUUUGUAACAUUGCCUAGAAGCUGUUACUAUUAUCAAAUAAGCAUUUAAGGUAUACCUUUGGAUCUGUGCAUGGAGUGUAGUCUUGAUAGUUGCUGCUGCAUUCAGGGAAGUUAACAGAUUUGAUCUGAAGCGGAGCAACCACUGGAUCCUUGGGAGACAGGACUGCUUUCUGGACAUCCCUAAUCUCGACUCUAUUUUUCUCAGAACAAAAGAUUCCACCAAGGUAAAACGAAAACCCACGUAGUGCAACAAACAAUACUGUCAAAGGAACAAUCCUGGGACUUUUAUCACCAUUUGGAGAAAUCGGUUUCUUAUCUUUAUGCUUCAUUUUUUCAGAAACAAUUAAUUACCUGCAUUGAUAAUAGUAAAAAAAAAUUUAGUCACAGCUAAGUGAGAUUAAAUUUUUAGCUCAAUGAACAAACACGUAAAGAAACAUCUCCAAGAUCCCAACUAUGGAAAUAAAUACAUUCCAUGCUCCAGUUUCGAUUCCUCCAUUGUCUAAGAUAUUAAACUAAGCAUCAUAAAGCAGAAUNNNNNNNNNNNNNNNNNNNNNNNNNNNNNNNNNNNNNNNNNNNNNNNNNNNNNNNNNNNNNNNNNNNNNNNNNNNNNNNNNNNNNNNNNNNNNNNNNNNNNNNNNNNNNNNNNNNNNNNNNNNNNNNNNNNNNNNNNNNNNNNNNNNNNNNNNNNNNNNNNNNNNNNNNNNNNNNNNNNNNNNNNNNNNNNNNNNNNNNNNNNNNNNNNNNNNNNNNNNNNNNNNNNNNNNNNNNNNNNNNNNNNNNNNNNNNNNNNNNNNNNNNNNNNNNNNNNNNNNNNNNNNNNNNNNNNNNNNNNNNNNNNNNNNNNNNNNNNNNNNNNNNNNNNNNNNNNNNNNNNNNNNNNNNNNNNNNNNNNNNNNNNNNNNNNNNNNNNNNNNNNNNNNNNNNNNNNNNNNNNNNNNNNNNNNNNNNNNNNNNNNNNNNNNNNNNNNNNNNNNNNNNNNNNNNNNNNNNNNNNNNNNNNNNNNNNNNNNNNNNNNNNNNNNNNNNNNNNNNNNNNNNNNNNNNNNNNNNNNNNNNNNNNNNNNNNNNNNNNNNNNNNNNNNNNNNNNNNNNNNNNNNNNNNNNNNNNNNNNNNNNNNNNNNNNNNNNNNNNNNNNNNNNNNNNNNNNNNNNGACGGCUGAGGUAGAUCAUUGUUAUAGAGAGAGAGAGAGAGAGAGAGAGAGAGAGAAGGAAGGAAGAGAGCUUCAGUUCAUAGCAAGAAGCGGCCGUGGGGAAUUUUUUUUCACUUCUUAAAAAUUUUAGAUUUUAGGUUUUCAUGUACACCUUCCAUUAAAACGACAUAGUAUCUAGGUAAUUUAAUUUAAUUUUUAAUAUUAUUUACUUAUUAAGCCAAAAAUCAAAAUCCAACUCAUGGCCCAGUGGUUAAUGUUUAAAAUUAAAAAGUUAAAGUUUAGAGGUCUUUAGUUCGAUUCCUAAUGGACACAAAAUUAAAAUUUUAUUUUUCUAAUUACUAAUACCUUAUUGUCACAUAUCUCUGAUAUUUAAUUUACAGACACUAUAGUAUCACAAAUUUGUGAUAUUUAUUUGUCAAACACGGAAAAUGCCCGAAAUGCAUGUAAUUACUGAUACUUUUUAAUAAAGUAUCACAAGACAAGUGUCAGUAAAGGUUAUUUUUCUAGUAGUGUUGUCUAUUGCUUAGGAAAAUAACCAACGGUCGUACCUUGGUUAUCGACUAGUUAAGGAGAGAUUGACUAUUAGAGGGUCUCAGUAGCUAUAACCGGUCUAUUCAUAAGUAGUAAUAAUUUAUAUUUGAAUCAAGGAUCAGUAGUCAAAUCAAGCUGAGUUAAUUCCUUCAACCAGAGCUUUCCCCAAUUUGAAUUACAAUUUGAAUUUGUGAUCUUGUUAUUUUAAUUUGAUUUUUAUUAUUGUCAACAAUUCCCCCAUUUUGCAUUUUAUAUUUUAAAAGGAUUUAAAUAAUUACCGAUCUCUGUGGACACGACCCUACUCAAUCACUAUACACAAUUUAUUUAGAGUAAGUAUUUAUUUUUGUUGGUUUCAACAACCAUCAAUAAUUCAGGCUUUGGAAUUUGUGGUAGUUCAGGUUUUGGUAACAGGCUUGGGUAUUUCUGGAACUGUUGCCUCUAGAAGAUGGCGAGCAGCGAUCAAAUCAAUGUUAAAGCUCAUUGACGAUAAAGCGAUUAACAAAAGUGGUAGCACAACGGAUGAGAAAGAGAAGGAUGCCAUGGUUGAACUAUUGCCGAAUAAGGCUAUAAGAGAUGAAACAUAUAUUGUGUUGCGGUAAUAACAAUCAAAAGAGAAGGGAUCAAAUGUGUUUAUGCAUUGAUUUCAUGUGUUAUGAGGCUUUUAUAGGUGUGGCGAAGCGUAGAAUAGAGGGUUUCAAGAUUGGGUAGGUAUGACUAAAAUAGUAAAAUAUAAAUAAAUUAAGCUUGGGUUGGUACUUGGUAAGAAAUUUAUGUCUUGUUAGUUCAUCAACCUCUCACUUCUGCUAAUUCCACGUACGUCAUAACGAUUAUAUAUCAUUGUAUAAUAUGUUAUAUAAGCAAUUAUAUUGCAAUUAAUUGUUAUAUUAAGGGAUUAUUCAUUAUCUUUUCAUAUAUGCCCUGUGAAAAAAAAGAAGGUAAAUGGUUAAAAUAAUAACCUCUGAAUGAUUAUUUAUUCAAUACUUUUCUGCAAAUUAUUUAAGAUUAUUGAAGCUAGUUCCUAUGGUAAGGAACGGCCUUUCUAAGGCUCAAACCUUGAGUUCGAAUUUUAAUGUAUGCCUGAGUUAAUAAUAAAAAAAAAUUAACAUUAUUUUAUAACUUUGGGGUCAUAUAUGUCAUAAAACACCUAAUGACAUAAGCUUCCCUUCUCGAAAACAAACUAAUACGUAAUUGAAUUUCAUUUCCUAAUGGAUGUUAACAGCGACAUGCCGUUUCUCUUAUUCCCAUCUUUUCCACUUCAAUUAAUUUAUCAGAUUGUCUUCUUCUUGUAUUUGAGUGCCUGAUUAACUAGUUGUUGUGGUUGGAAGCAUAUGUUAUCCAUUAUGCAUUGAAUAUUUUCAAACGUUGUGGUUGGUCAAAUGUGUUUCAUCAAUAUUAAUCAUAAACAAGUCAAAAGGAUAUUUACGUACGAAUUCUUUUGUUUAGUUAUGUGAUAUUGUGUUAAAAAAAUGGAGAUCAACGUCGUGUCAUUUGAUGAUAUUUUAUAUAAGAUCUCAGUUUGUUGGCCACAAUUUUGAAUGAAGCUUGACCAAAUGACAUCCUUUAGUAUAUAGCUAAACUGCAAUCAACUGUACAAUUAAAUAUUAGGACUUGGGACACCGUCUUUUCGCCAAUAAUCUUAACGAAUUAUGUAAAAGUCAAUUAUCAAUUUAUAUUUACUCAGGUAAAAGUGUUGAACAUGUGCAUGUAUGUGGCAAACAAUUGCAUGUGGUUAGCAUGCAACUUUUGACUUUUCUCAUAAAAUUGUUGAGUAAGAGGGAGACAUGAGUAAGUGAGAGGAAUAUAACUUUUGACUUUGGCACCAAAGUAGAAGGUUGAGAGAAAUUUUAUAUUAUUUUAAUGCCCACAUUUUUAGGCAUUGCUUGGCCUAUAAAUAGAGGCAUCAUUUGCCCUCUUGAAUUAUCUCAUUUUCUCUAGUUCGAGUGAGAGUGCCAAGAGGUAUAAGUUGAGAGUGUUGAGAACUUUGUGCUCUAGUUCUAGUGUUUUUGAGAGUUUGGGUGUACGAGGGUUUUGGGUUGUGAGACAAAAAUACUAUCAUACUUGUAACUCCUUUUCACUAGUAAAAUAUUUCCUUCUAUCUUCGCAUGUGGAUGUAGGCUAAAAGCCGAACUACGUAAAUUCUGGUGUUCCUGUAUGAUCAUUAUUUUUUUAAUUUUACUUUAGUUACGUGUCUGCUUCACCUGUUGAAUUUUCCCAACAAGUUGUAUCAGAGCCAUUGGUUGCAUUUUUUUGCAGUCAGAUUUCACGUAUGCAAUAUUAUUCACGUAUACGGCACUAUUCACACGAAACGAUGAGAGCAAUCUAAGAAUUCUACGGUGCAAGGCAGGGAAUAGUGAUGUGAGUGAAAGUAAUUGUGUGGUCUUGUACAUAUCUAGGAAAGUUCUGUCAUAACGGCAAUACGAGUUUAAGGAGUUUGGAUUUUAAGUGGGAUCGUUGUGACCCCUCUAGUCUUUCCUAGGAACUUUCCUGAUGUGCAUUUUCACAUGUGUGAUUACUCAUAACUAUUCAAGGAGGUACACGAACUUGUGUGCGGUAUUACCAAAAUGACAACAAAGUUUGAAAUUAAAAAGUUCAACGGGAGCAAUUUCUCGUUAUGGAAAAUGAAGAUGCGGGCAAUCUUGAGGAAAAACAAUUGCUUAAAAGCAAGUAUUUUAAGGCCUGAAAAAAUCACUGGUGACAAGUGGAAUGAAUGGACAACAAUGCAAUUGUUGAUUUACACCUGGCACUCAGAUGGGGUGUUAUCUAGUGUAGCAGAACAAUUAUUUUAAGGCCUGAAAAAAUCACUGGUGACAAGUGGAAUGAAUGGACAACAAUGCAAUUGUUGAUUUACACCUGGCACUCAGAUGGGGUGUUAUCUAGUGUAGCAAAGGAAAAGACAAUGAAAGGUAUUUGUGAUACUUUUACAAAAUUGUACGAGAUUAAGUCGCUACACAACAAAAUCUUCUUAAAGAGAAGACUCUAUACUCUUCGAAAGGGGGAAACCACAAUGGCGACCGAUCAUAUCAACACUCUUAAAACUCUAUUUUCACAACUUACGAUGUUUGGCAUAAAAUAAAAGAAAUUGAACAUGCAGAGCUUCUACUUCAAAGUUUACCUGACUCGUAUAAUCAACUUGACGAACAAUAUCCUUACGGAGUACCUAGUCUUGAGGAAAAAUAAUUGCCUAAAAGCAAUUAGGGAAAGACCUGCAAAAAUCACUGGUGAGAAAUGGAAUGAAUUGACAACAAUGCAAUUGUUGAUCUACUCCUAGGACUCAGAUGGGGUGUUAUCUAGUGUGGUGGAGGAAAAAACAGUGAAGGGUAUUUGGGAUACUCUAACAAAACUGUACGAGACCAAGUUACUACACAACAAUAUCUUCUUGAAGAGGAGACUCUAUACUUUUCGAAUGGCGGAAACCACAACGAUGACCGACCAUAUCAACACUCUUAAAACUCUAUUUUCACAACUUACGACGUUGGGCAUAAAAUAAAGGAAAUUGAACGUGCAAAGCUUAUACUUCAAAGUUUACCUAACUCGUAUGAUCAACUCAUCAUCAACUUUACGAGCAAUAUCUUUACGGAGUGCUUAGUUUUUGAUGAUGCUGCAGCCUCUCCAUUUUAAUAAGAGAGUAGGUGCAAGAACUAUGACGACAGGUAAGCAAGUUCGCUGUAAGCAGAAGCACUAACGAUGGUGAAAGGGAGAUUAGCGGAACGUGGUCCUAGUAGGAGUCACAAUCAUUGUAGAUCAAAGUCAAGAAGUAAGAAGAAAAUCAGAUGCUACAAAUGUGCCAAAAUAGGACAUGUCAAGAAAGAGUAUUAGAGUUAACAGAAGAGAAGAGAGGGUAAAGAUCCUGAGUCAUCAAAUACUUAGGGGUGUGUAGUAAGUACCUCAGAUGAUGGUGACAUUUUAUACAACGAGGCAAUUAUGGUUGAAGAAAGCAGAAAAAAACUAUCUGACGUCUGGCUUAUAGACUCAAGAGCUACUGGCACAUGACCUCUCGAAGAGAAUAGUUCCACAAAUAUAAUCCUAUCUUAGGAGGAUCUGUAUGUAUGGGUGAUGAUCAUACCUUGGAGAUUGCUAGUGUUGGUUCUAUCAAAAUAAAAAUGUUUGAUGGUAUAGUUUGCACUAUUAAGGAGGUAUGUCAUAUCAAAGGCAUGAAAAAAAAAUCUAUUGUCUUUAGGACAAAUAGACAGUCUUGGUUGUAAAACUUAGGUGGAAAAUGGGAUCACGAAGAUUGUCGGAAGUACGUUUGUAUUGCUGAAGGCGGAAAGAUCAGUGCUAAUUUAUUCAUGCUUAAAGGGGAAACACUGCAAGAAGAUAAUGCUCGUGUUGCGUCAAAGAGAGAAUAAUUGGCGAUGAUGUAGCAUCUUAAACUUGGCUACAUGUCGAAACAAGGUUUGAAGAUUCUCUUUGGGCAGAAGUUGCUUUCAAGGCUUAAAUAGGUAAACUUAUCGCUUUGUGAGCAUUGUGUUACAAGUAGGCAACAUAGAUUAAAGUUCACCAGAUCUGACACCAUAACUAAAUGCAUUCUAGAUUUGGUUCAUUCUGAUGUUUGGGAAUUGCCGGAUAAGUCCUUGGGAGGUUCAAAGUACGUGGUGAUUUUCAUUGAUGAAUAGUCCAGGCGAUGUUAGGAGUAUCGAAUCAAGAAAAAGUCAGAUGCAUUUCCAGUGUUGAAAGAAUACAAAGCGCAAGUCGAACCAAAGUGGAAGUUGAGAGAAAUUUUAUAUUAUUAGCAUUGUUGAUUUUUGGGCAUUGCCUGACCUAUAAAUAGUGGCUUCAUUUACCCUCCAAUCAUGCCAUUUUCCCCAAUUCAAGUGAGAGUGCCAAGAGGCGCAAGUUGAGAGUGUUGAGAGCUUUGAGCUCUAGUUCUAUUGUUUUUUUAGAGUUUGGGUAUAUUGGGGUUUUGGGUUAUGAGACAAAACACUACAACACUUGUAACUCCUUUUCACUAGUAAAAUAUUUCUUUCUGCCCUUGCCCAUAGACGUAGGCUAAAAGUUUAACCACGUAAAUUUUGGUGUCCCUAUAUGAUCAUUAUUUUUCAAUUUCAUUUUAAUUGCGUGUCUACUUCACCCACACGAUUUUUCCCAACAAAAAGCUCAAAUCAGGAUAAUCAAAUGCACAUGUGUGUACUUAAAAAAAUCAGACACAAAAAUCACGUGUCAAGUGCUAGAACUUGAGCCUAAAAUAAUUAAUUUCAUUUUAUUAUUACUUUGUUUUUUAAUAUUAAUACUAGCUAGUUUUAUAUAAUUCACUUUUGCUCCUUUUUUCAUGUUCCUUGUUAGAAUUGAUCAAUUGAGUUACUAACUUCUGUCCUUAUCUGGUAUCAAUGUAAGCUCUUUCUAUAAUUUAUUCAUUUUUUUUGUAACUCUCUCUGUAAUUUAAUCAUUUUUUUUAUGGACCUUGUGUAAUGGGGAUAUUUCGUCUCAAAUGAGAAUAUUUAUUCUGCAAAAAACCAUUUACAAAAGUUGUCAAUGUAGUUCAGGAUGGAUUAGUUUCAUAUUAAACAUUAGUGACAGCUGUAGUCUAAAAGUCGCGUAAACAUUCCUAUUUUGGGCACGUAGCUCUUCACGGUUUGUUGUUGGACAAAAUCAUAACCGACUAUGUGGUCAAAGGGAGCAAAUAAAUCUGAUUUUUCUCCCCUUAAUGAUCAGAUAAAGGGUCGUCCUAGUUUAUUUUACUAAAAUAUCACUGUCGCUGCGGUGCUGAAGUUUGUUUAGGUGUUUCUAGCUUCGAAUGCUGAAACGUUCGGCAAUACACAAAACAAAAAGAUGUCUCUUUAAUUUAUUUUGCUGUACAUUUUAAACUCAUAAAAAAUUAAAUACCAAUUUAAUCGAUGUGACACAGCAAUCAUCAUCAUUUUAAACCUUAGACAAGGAGACAGUGCCCUAGUUCAUUUUACGUAUAUAUAUAUAUAUAUAUAUAUCAAUGCUGCUGCGAUGCUGAUGUUUGUUUAGUGAACGUAGAGCUUGAACCCUGCAGAGAUAUGAAAUGUCUCUUUUAUUUUGCUAUACGUUUUCGACUAAAGUCAAAAUGAAGAUAAAAUGUAAUAUAUGUCAUAGAGCACAUAAAAUCAGAAACCUCAAAUCAGACUGCUAAACCUAAAAGUACAAUAAAUAUCACUCAAUAGAUUAUGUAAAAAUGAAUACAACAGUACUCCUGUGGAGCCGAGCUCAUCGCGAGUCGUAUCCCAGACUUAAAAACAAUAACAAAAAACUCCUCAAGAGUGAAAACACACAAAUUUGGAAAGUCUCAAAACAAGAACCAACAAAUAUAAUUUAUUAGUAUACAUCCAGAUGAAGCUCGAGAAAGCAUUUGGAGAAGAUGAAAUUUAAGGAUUGGUGGUCGAGUGAGUUGGGAUCUCCUUGGGAAGACUCGGGAUGGCGGGAAAUGUGGGCUUAGGAAGCUCAGGUAGAUGAGGCAGAGAAGGCAAUUCGGGCUCUUUCGGCACCUCAGGCACUUUGGGCAACUCAGGCUUUGGAAGUUCAGGUACUUCGGGCUCUUUUGGCAGCUCAGGCACUUUGGGCAACUCAGGCUUCGGAUGUUCAGGUACUUCGGGCUCUUUUGGCACCUCAGGCACUUUGGGCAACUCAGGCUUCGGAUGUUCAGGUACUUCGGGCUCUUUUGGCACCUCAGGCACUUUGGGCAACUCAGGCUUCGGAUGUUCAGGUACUUCGGGCUCUUUUGGCACCUCAGGCACUUUGGGCAACUCAGGCUUCGGAUGUUCAGGUACUUCGGGCUCUUUUGGCACCUCAGGCACUUUGGGCAACUCAGGCUUCGGAUGUUCAGGUACUUCGGGCUCUUUUGGCACCUCAGGCACUUUGGGCAACUCAGGCUUCGGAUGUUCAGGUACUUCGGGCUCUUUUGGCACCUCAGGCACUUUGGGCAACUCAGGCUUCGGAUGUUCAGGUACUUCGGGCUCUUUUGGCACCUCAGGCACUUUGGGCAACUCAGGCUUCGGAUGUUCAGGUACUUCGGGCUCUUUUGGCACCUCAGGCACUUUGGGCAACUCAGGCUUCGGAUGUUCAGGUACUUCGGGCUCUUUUGGCACCUCAAGCACUUUGGGCAACUCAGGCUUUGGAAGUUCAGGUACUUCAGGCUCUUUUGGCACCUCAGGUUUCGGAAUCUCUGGCAAUUCAGGUUCUUUUGGCAACUCAGGCUUUGGAAUCUCUGGUAAUUCAGGUUUUCUAGGUAGCUCAGGCUUUGGAAUCUCAGGUAAUUCAGGCUUUGGAAUUUGUGGUAGUUCAGGUUUUGGUAACGGUGGCAAUUCAACCUUAGGCAAUUCAGGCUUGGGUAUUUCUGGAACUGUUGCCUCUAGAAGAUGGCGAGCAGCGAUCAAAUCAAUGUUAAAGCUCAUUGACGAUAAAGCGAUUAGCAAAAGUGGUAGCAUAACGGAUGAGAAAGAGAAGGAUGCCAUGGUUGAACUAUUGCCGAAUAAGGCUAUAAGAGAUGAAACAUAUAUUGUGUUGCGGUAAUAACAAUCAAAAGAGAAGGGAUCAAAUGUGUUUAUGCAUUGAUUUCAUGUUUUAUGAGGCUUUUAUAGGUGUGGCGAAGCGUAGAAUAGAGGGUUUCAAGAUUGGGUAGGUAUGACUAAAAUAGUAAAAUAUAAAUAAAUUAAGCUUGGGUUGGUACUUGGUAAGAAAUUUAUGUCUUGUUAGUUCAUCAACCUCUCACUUCUGCUAAUUCCACGUACGUCAUAACGAUUAUAUAUCAUUGUAUAAUAUGUUAUAUAAGCAAUUAUAUUGCAAUUAAUUGUUAUAUUAAGGGAUUAUUCAUUAUCUUUUCAUAUAUCCCCUGUGAAAAAAAAGAAGGUAAAUGGUUAAAAUAAUAACCUCUGAAUGAUUAUUUUAUUCAAUACUUUUCUGCAAAUUAUUUAAGAUUAUUGAAGCCAGUUCCUAUGGUAAGGAACGGCCUUUCUAAGGCUCAAACCUUGAGUUCGAAUUUUAAUGUAUGCCUGAGUUAAUAAUAAAAAAAAAUUAACAUUAUUUUAUAACUUUGUGGUCAUAUAUGUCAUAAAACACCUAAUGACAUAAGCUUCCCUUCUCGAAAACACACUAAUACGUAAUUGAAUUUCAUUUCCUAAUGGAUGUUAACAGCGACAUGCCGUUUCUCUUAUUCCCAUCUUUUCCUCUUCAAUUAAUUUAUCAGAUUGUCUUCUCCUUGUAUUUGAAUGCUACAAGAAAGAAGAUUGAACGCUCUAUGAUUGAGAUUUUAAGCCAGAUUAACUAUUUGUUGUGGUUGGAAGCACAUAUUAUCCAUUACGCAUUGGUUAUUUUCAAACGUUGUCGUGGUUGGUCAAAUGUGUCUUAUCAAUAUUAAUCAUGAACAAGUCAAAAGCAUAUUUACGUACGAAUCAACGUCGUGUCAUUUGAUCAUAUUUUAUGUAAGAUCUCCUGUUUGUUGGCCACAAUUUUGAUAUGUAGUACUUGGGGCACCAUCUUUUCGCCAAUAAUCUUAACGAAUUAUGUAAAAGUCAAUUACCAAUUUAUAUUUACUCAGGUAAAAGUGUUGAACAUAUGUAUGCAUGUGGCAAACAAUUGCAUGUGGCUAGCAUGCAACUUUUGACUCUCGUCAUAAAAUUAUUGAGUAAGUGGGAGACAUGAGUAAGUGAGAGUAAUAUAGCUUUUGACUCUGGCACCAAAGUAGAAGGUUCAGAGAAAAUUUACAUUAUUUUAAUGCCCACCAUCCUUGAUUUUUAGACAUUACCUGGCCUAUAAAUAAAGGCUUCAUUUGCCCUCUUGAAUCAUCUCAUUUUCUCUGGUGAGAGUGAGAGUGCCAAGAGGUGUAAGUUGAGAGUGUUGAGAGCUUUGUACUCUAGUUCUAGUGUUUUUCAGAGUUUUAGUGUACUGGAGUUUUGGGUUGUGAGACAAAAAUACUAUAAUACUUGUAACUCAUUUUUACUAGCAAAAUAUUUCCUUCUGUUUUCGCAUGUGGACGUAGGCUAAAAACUGAACUAUGUAAAUUCUGGUGUUGUUGUAUGAUAAUUAUUUUUCAAUUUCACUUUAGUUGUGUGUCUACUCACCCGCUGAAUUUUCCCAACAAGUGGUAUCAGAGCCAUUGGUUGCAAAUCUUUGGAGUCGGGUAUUGUUCACGUAUACGAUACUAUUCACAUAUACAAUACUAUUCACGUUUACGGCAUUAUUCACAUGAAACGAUGGGAGCGAUCCAAGAAUUCUGCGGUACAAAGUAGGGAAUAGUGAUGUGAGUGAAAGUAAUUGUGUGGUCUUGUACAUAUCUAGGAAAAUUCUGUCAUAAAGGCAAUAAGAGUUUAAGAAGUUUGGAUUUUAAGUGGGAUCAUUGUGACCCCUCCAGUCUCUCUUGGGAACUUUCGUAGUGUGCAUAUUCACACGUGUGAUCACUCAUAACUAUUCAAGGAGGUACACUAACUUGUGUGCGGUAUUAACAAAAUGACAGCAACGUUUGAAAUUAAGAAGUUCAACGGGAGCAAUUUCUCGUUAUGGAAAAUGAGGAUGCGGGCAAUCUUGAGGAAAAAUAAUUGCUUAAAAGUGAUUGGGGAAAGACCUGCAAAAAUCACUGGUAACAAGUGGAAUGAAUGGACAAUAAUGUAAUUGUUGAUCUACACCUGGCACUCAGAUGGGGUGUUAUCUAGUGUGGCAGAGGAAAAGACAGUGAAAGGUAUUUGGGAUACUCUCACAGAACUAUACGAGAUCAAGUCACUACACAACAAAAUCUUCUUGAAGAGGAGACUCUAUACUCUUCGAAUGGGGGAAACCACAACGGUGAUCGACCAUACCAACACUCUUAAAACUUUAUUUUCACAACUUAUGAUGUUUGGCAUAAAGUAGAGGAAAUUAAAUGUGCAGAGCUUCUACUUCAAAGUUUACCUGACUUAUAUAAUCAACUUGACGAACAAUAUCCUUACGGAGUACCUAGUCUUGAGGAAAAAUAAUUGCUUAAAAAUAAUUGGGGAAAGGCCUGCAAAAAUCACUGGUGACAAGUGGAAUGAAGUGACAGCAAUGCAAUUGUUGAUCUACACCUGGCACUCAGAUGGGGUGUUAUCUAGUGUGGCGGAGGAAAAGACAAUGAAAGGUAUUUGGGAUACUCUCACAAAAAUGUAUGAGGCCAAGUCACUACACAAUAAUAUCUUUUUGAAGAGGAGACUCUAUACUUUUCGAAUUGCGGAAACCAUAACGAUGAGCGACCAUAUCAACACUCUUAAAACUCUAUUUUCACAACUUACGACGUUGGGUAUAAAAUAGAAGAAAUUGAACGUGCAGAGCUUCUACUUUAAAGUUUACCUGACUCAUAUGAUCAACUCAUCAUCAACUUGAUGAACAAUAUCCUUAUGGAGUACUUAGUCUUCGAUGAUGUUACAGCCUCUGUAUUAGAAUAAGAGAGUAGGCGCAAAAACUAGGAAGACAGUUAAGCAAGUUCGCUGCAAGUGGAAGCGCAUGAUGAUGAGAGGGAGGUCAGUGAAACGUAGUCCUAGUAGGAGUCACAAUCAUGGUAGAUCAAAUUUAAGAAGUAAGAAGAAAAUCAGAUGCUACAAAUGUGGAAAAAUAUGGCAUGUCAAGAAAGAGUGUUGGAGUUACCAGUAGAAAGGAGAGGGUAAAGAUCCUAAGUCAUCAAAUACUUAGGGGUGUGUAGUAAGUACCUCAUAUGAUGAUGACGUUUUAUACAACGAGGCAGUUAUGGUUGCAGAAGGCAAAAAAAACUAUCUGACGUCUGGUUUAUAGACUCAAGAGCUACUGGCACAGGACCUCUUAGAGAGAAUAAUCCCACAAAUAUGAACCUAUCUUAGGAGAAUCGGUAUAUAUGGGUGAUAAUCAUACCUUGGAGAUUGCUAGUGUUGGUUCUAUCAAAAUAAAAAUAUUUGAUGGUAUAUUUGCACUAUUUAGGAGGUAUUGCAUGUCAAAUGUAUGAAAAAAAAUCUAUUGUCUUUAGGACAAAUAGAUAGUCUUGGCUAUAAAACUCAGGUGGAAAAUGGGAUCAUGAAGAUUGUCAGAAGUACGCUUGUAUUGAUGAAGGCAGAAAAUAUAUGUGCCAAUUUAUUCAUGCUUAAAGGGGAAACAUUGCAAGAAGCUACUGCUUGUGUUGCGUCAAAUAGAGAAGAAUCGACAAUGAUGUGCAUCUCAAACUUGGCCACAUGUGGAAACAAGGUUUGAAGAUUCUCUCUGGGAAAAAGUUGCUUCCAGGGCUUAAAUAGGUGAACUUAUCAUUUUGCGAGCACUGUGCUACAAGUAAGCAGCAUAGAUUAAAGUUUAGCAUAUCUGACAGCAUAAGUAAAUGCACUCUAGCAUAUCUGACAACAUAUGGACGUAUGCUAAAAGUCAAACCACAUAAAUUCUGGUGUCCCUGUAUGAUCAUUAUUUUUUUAUUUCAUUUAAAUUGCGUGUCUACUUCACCCACCCGAUUUUUCCCAACAAAAAGCUCAAAUCAGGAUAAUCAAAUGCACAUGUGUGUACUUCAAAAAAAUCAGACCAAAAAAUAUCACGUGUCAAGUGCUAGAACUUGAGCCUAAAAUAAUUCAUUUCAUUUUAUUACUUUGUUUUUGAAUAUUAAUACUAGCUAGUUUUAUAUAAUUCACUUUUGCUCCUUGUUUCUUGUUCCUUGUUAGAAUUGAUCAAUUGAGUUACUAACUUCUGUCCUUAUCUGGUUUUAAUGUAAGCUCUCUCUAUAAUUUAAUCAUUUUUUUUGUAACUCUCUCUGCAAAUUAAUCAAUUUUUUUAUGGACCUUGUGUAAUGGGGAUAUUUCGUCUCAAGUGAGAAUAUUUAUUCUGCAAAAAAACAUUUACAAAAGUUGUAAAUCUAGUUCAGGAUGGAUUAGUUUCAUAUUAAACAUUAGUGACAGCUCUAGUCUAAAAGUCACGUAAACAUUCCUAUUUUGGGCACGUAGCUCUUCACGGUUUGCUGUUCGACAAAAUCAUAACCGACUGUGUGGUCAAAGGGAGCAAAUAAAUCUGAUUUUUCUCCCCUUGAUGAUCAGAUAAAGGGUCGUCCUAGUUUAUUUUUCUAAAAUAUCACUGUCGCUGCGGUGCUGAAGUUCGUUUAGGUCUUUCUAGCUUCGAAUGCUGAAACGUUCGGCAAUACACAAAACAAAAAGUUGUCUCUUUAAUUUAUUUUUCUGUAUAUUUUAAAAUCACAAAAAAUUAAAUACCAAUUUAAUCGAUGUGACACAGCAAUCAUCAUUAUUUUAAAUUUCCUAUACAUUUUCGACUGACGUCAAAAUGAAGAUAAAAUGCAAUUACGUGAUAGAGCACAUAUAAAAUCAGAAACCUCAAAUCAGACUGCUAAACAUAAAAAUACAAUAUAUAUCACUCAAUUUAUUAUGUAGAAAUGAAUACAACAGUAGUCCUGCGUAGCCGAACUCAUCACGAGUCGUAUCCCAGAUUUAAAAACAAUAACAAAAAGAAUCCUCAAAAGGGAAAACACACAAAUUUGGAAAGUCUCAAAACAAGAAACAACAAAUAUAAUUUAUUGAUAUACAUCUGCAGAGAACCAGAUGAAGCUCGGGAAAGCAUUUGAAGAAAAUGGAAUUUAAGGAUUGGUGGUUGAGUGAGUUGGCAUCUCCUUGGGAAGACUCGGGAUGGGGGGAAAUGUCGGCUUAGGAAGCUCAGGUAGAUGGGGGAAAGAAGGCAAUUCAGGCGCCUUGGGCAACUCAGGCUUUGGAAGUUCAGGUACUUCGGGCUCCUUUGGCACCUCAGCCACUUUGGGCAACUCAGGCUUUGGAAGUUCAGGUACUUCGGGCUCUUUUGGCACCUCAGGCACUUUGGGCAACUCAGGCUUCGGAUGUUCAGGUACUUCGGGCUCUUUUGGCACCUCAGGCACUUUGGGCAACUCAGGCUUCGGAUGUUCAGGUACUUCGGGCUCUUUUGGCACCUCAGGCACUUUGGGCAACUCAGGCUUCGGAUGUUCAGGUACUUCGGGCUCUUUUGGCACCUCAGGCACUUUGGGCAACUCAGGCUUCGGAUGUUCAGGUACUUCGGGCUCUUUUGGCACCUCAGGCACUUUGGGCAACUCAGGCUUCGGAUGUUCAGGUACUUCGGGCUCUUUUGGCACCUCAGGCACUUUGGGCAACUCAGGCUUCGGAAGUUCAGGUACUUCAGGCUCUUUUGGCACCUCAGCUUUCGGAAUCUCUGGCAAUUCUGGUUCUUUUGGCAACUCAGGCUUUGGAAUCUCAGGUAAUUCAGGUUUCUUCG